GAACGCUGGCGGCAUGCCUAACACAUGCAAGUCGAACGCAUCUUCGGAUGAGUGGCGCACGGGUGAGUAACGCGUGGGAACCUACCCUGAGGUUCGGAAUAACGGCUGGAAACGGCCGCUAAUACCGGAUGUGUCCUAUGGGGCAAAGGCUUGCCGCCUUGGGAGGGGCCCGCGUCCGAUUAGCUAGUUGGUGAGGUAACGGCUCACCAAGGCGACGAUCGGUAGCUGGUCUGAGAGGAUGAUCAGCCACACUGGGACUGAGACACGGCCCAGACUCCUACGGGAGGCAGCAGUGGGGAAUAUUGGACAAUGGGCGCAAGCCUGAUCCAGCAAUGCCGCGUGUGUGAUGAAGGCCCUAGGGUUGUAAAGCACUUUCGCCGGUGACGAUGAUGACGGUAGCCGGAUAAGAAGCCCCGGCUAA
rnacentral:rRNA from 1 species